GCAAGAUACCACGGGCGCACGGCGGAUGCCUUGGCACAGGGAGCCGAUGAAGGACGCGGCAAGCUGCGAUAAUCCCCGGCGAGGAGCACACAUCCUUCGACCCGGGGGUCUCCGAAUGGGCGAACCCAUCCACAGCAGUGUGGAUAUCCCCACCCCGAACACAUAGGGGUGGGGAGGACAACCCGGGGAACUGAAACAUCUAAGUACCCGGAGGAGAGGAAAUCAAUCUCGAGACUCCCCGAGUAGCGGCGAGCGAAAGGGGACCGAUGGCCAAACCGUCGAGCGGGCAUACCCGGCAGGGGUUCCGCCGACGGGGUUGCAGGGCCGCGCAUCCGGGGGCUGCCGCCCCCGGGCGCAGGUCCGGCUGGGGAGCGGAACGGCAUGGGAGGGCCGGCCGCAGCGGGUGACAGCCCCGUACGCGAACCCAGACCGGACGGCGCGACGCGGUCCCUGAGUAGGGCCGGGCACGUGAAACCCGGUCCGAACCUGGGUGGACCACCAUCCAAGCCUGAGUACUACCCUGUGACCGAUAGCGCACCAGUACCGUGAGGGAAAGGUGAAAAGCACCCCGGGAGGGGAGUGAAACAGUACCUGAAACCGUGCGCCCACGAGCAGUCGGAGCACCCUUGUGGUGUGACGGCGUGCCUUUUGUAGAAUGAGCCAGCGAGUCGCUGGCGCGGGGCGAGGUUAACCGAAAGGGAGCCGGAGCGAAAGCGAGCCUUAACAGGGCGACUUGAGUCCCGCGCCGCGGACGCGAAGCCGGGUGAGCUAUCCGUGGGCAGGCUGAAGCGGGGGUAAGACCCCGUGGAGGGCCGAACGCACGUCGGUUGAAAACGGCGGCGAUGACCUGCGGAUAGGGGUGAAAGGCCAAUCAAACCCGGAGAUAUCUCGUUCUCCCCGAAAUAGCUUUAGGGCUAGCGUCGCGCGUUCACCGCCGGAGGUAGAGCACCGGAUGGACGAGGGGGCUUCGCCGCCUACCGAAUCCAACCGAACUCCGAAUGCCGGCGGCCCAGAGCGCGGCAGUCAGAGCAUGUGGGCUAAGCUGUGUGCUCGAGAGGGAAACAGCCCGGACCGCCCGCUAAGGUCCCCAAGUUCCAGCCGAGUGGCAAAGGAUGUGCGUCCGCCCAGACAACCAGGAUGUUGGCUUAGAAGCAGCCAUGCAUUCAAAGAGUGCGUAACAGCUCACUGGUCGAGUGGACAUGCGCCGACAAUACACGGGGCUAAGCUGGACACCGAAGCGGCGGGAUUUUAUCUAUAUAGAAUCGGUAGGGGAGCUUCCCAUGGGCGGUGAAGCCGCCGGGCGACCGGCGGUGGAGCGCAUGGGAGUGAGAAUGCUGGCAUGAGUAGCGAGAGACGAGAGAGUAACUCGUCCGCCGUGAACCCGAGGUUUCCUGGGCAAGGCUAAUCCUCCCAGGGUCAGUCGGGGGCUAAGGCGAGGCCGGAAGGCGUAGCCGACGCGCAGCAGGCAGACAUUCCUGCACCGCGCACGCGGCGCUACGACCGACGGGGCGACGGAUGGGGGUGGCUCGGCGGGGUUCUGGACGUCCCCGUGAUGGAGCGCGGCCCGCGGACCAGGGAAAUCCGGUCCGCACGAGGGCGAGGCUCCGGACGAAGCGAUCAAGCGAAGCGAGUGAGCCCGAGGUCCCUAGAAAAACCCCUAGGCAGGCGCGUGCGCGCCCGUACCGCAAACCGACACAGGUGGGUGGGUAGAACAUACCGAGGCGAUCGGGUCAACCAUGGUCAAGGAACUCGGCACAAUGGCCCCGUAACUUCGGGAGAAGGGGUGCCCGCGCGUACGUGAACGGACUUGCUCCGGGAGCGGAGGCGGGCCGCAGUGGAGAGGCCCAAGCGACUGUUUACCAAAAACACAGGACUCUGCAGAAGCCGCAAGGCGACGUAUAGGGUCUGACGCCUGCCCGGUGCCGGAAGGUCACGCGGAGGAGUUAGCGCAUCGCGCGAAGCCCCGAAGCCAAGCCCCGGUAAACGGCGGCCGUAACUAUAACGGUCCUAAGGUAGCGAAAUUCCUUGUCGGGUAAGUUCCGACCUGC
rnacentral:rRNA from 1 species